AGAGUUUGAUCCUGGCUCAGAUUGAACGCUGGCGGAUGCUUUACACAUGCAAGUCGAACGGCAGCACGGACUCGGUCUGGUGGCGAGUGGCGAAUGGGUGAGUAAUGUAUCGAACGUGCCUAGUAGCGGGGAUAACUACGAAAGCGUGGCCAAUACCGCAAGGCGCACCGUGUUGGGACCUUCGGGCCUCGCACUAUUAGAGCGGCCGAUAUCGGAUUAGCUAGUUGGUGGGGUAACGGCUCACCAAGGCGACGAUCCGUAGCUGGUUUGAGAGGACGACCAGCCACACUGGACCGAGACACGGCCCAGGACUCCUACGGGAGGUGCAGCAGUGGGGGAAUUUUGACAAUGGGGAAACUCAUCCAGCCAUCCCAUGCGUGCGAUGAAGGCCUUCGGGUUGUAAAGCACUUUUUGCAGGAGUAACGGCAACGUCGAUACACCCCAAAAAAAUCGACGGUACCUGCAAUAGCACUGGCUACUACGCCAGCAGGCUGCGGUAAUGGUCAUUUAGGCGUAAGCGUUAAUCGGAAUUACUGGCGUAAAGCGUGCGGCAGGCGGUUCGGAAAGAAAGAUGUGAACCUAGAGCUUAACUUCGGAACUGUAUUUUUAACUACCGAGCUAGAGGCCGAGGGAGGUGAAUUCCGCGUGUAGCAGGAAUGCGUAGAUAUGCGGAGGAACACCGAUGGCGAAGGCAGCCUCUGGGAUAAGCAACACUGACGCUCAUGCACGAAAGCGUGGGAGCAAACAGGAUUAGAUACCCCUGGUAGUCCACGCCCUAAACGAUGUCAACUAGCUGUUGGGGCCUUUCGGGCCUUGCAGCGCAGCUAACGCGUGAAGUUGACCGCCUGGGGAGUACGGUCGUGAUUAAAACUCCAAAGGAAUUGACGGGACCUGCACAAGCGGAUGAUGUGGAUUAAUUGGAUGCAACGCGAAAACCUUACCUACCCUUGACAUGUCUGGAAUCCCGAAGAGAUUUGGGAGUGCUCGCAAGCAGGAACUGGAACAUAUAGGUGCCUUCGCAUGGCUGUCGUCAGCUCGUGUCGUGAGAUGUUGGGUUAAGUCCCGCAACGAGCGCAACCCCUGUCAUUAGUUGCUACGAAAGGGCACUCUAAUGACUGCCGGUGACAAACCGGAGGAAGGUGGGGAUGACGUCAUGUCCUCAUGGCCCUUAUGGGCAGGGCUUCACACGUCAUACAAUGGUCGGGACAGAGGGUCGCCAACCGCAGGGAGCCAAUCCCAGAAACCCGAUCGUAGUCCGGAUCGCAGUCUGCAACUCGACUGCGUGAAGUCGGAAUCGCUAGUAAUCGCGGAUCAGCAUGUCGCGGUGAAUACGUUCCCGGGUCUUGCAGGCCACACCGCCCGUCACACCAUGGGAGUGGUUUUACCAGAAGUAGUUAGCCUUAACCGUAAGGAGGGCGAUUACAAAGCAGAGAGAUUCAUUAAUUCGGGGUGAAGUCGUAAUAAGGUAG
rnacentral:rRNA from 1 species